GUGUUUUUGCCGGAAACACAUAUACUAAAAUUGGAAUGAUAUGGAGAAAGAUUAGCAUGGCCCCUCUACAAGGCAUGUGAAUUAAUGAAACAGUCUUUGUAUUU